rnacentral:rRNA from 1 species
CCUACGGGUGGCAGCAGUGGGGAAUAUUGGGCAAUGGAGGCGACUCUGACCCAGCCACGCCGCGUGAAUGAUGAAGGUCUUCGGGUUGUAAAGUUCUUUUCUAAGGGAAGUAGAGAGUGACGGUACCUUAGGAAUAAGCCUCGGCUAACUACGUGCCAGCAGCCGCUGUAAUACGUAGGAGGCAAGCGUUAUCCGGAAUCACUGGGCGUAAAGGUGGCGUAGGUGGUUUGACAAGUUAGUAGAGAAACUCCGGAGCUCAACAUUGGAACUACUACUAACACUGGUGGACUUGAGUGCAGGAGGGGCAAGCGGAAUUCCUAGUGUAGCGGUGGAAUGCGUAGAUAUCAGGAGGAACACCAGUGGCGAAGGCGGAUUGCUAGACUGUAACUGACACUGAGGCACGAAAGCGUGGGGAGCAAACAGCAUUAGAUACCCGGGUAGUC